AGAUGCCCUGGAGAAGGGAAGGAGAAGCCACAAUCACAUCUUCAAGCGUCUGAACGGCUGUCAAAUUAAAGCCAGCUCUUUGUGGUUUACAAUGGACCUGUCUUCCAACAACCCUGGGAGGCUAUUGGAAAUGAUGGAUGUUUCAUGGUGAGAAGGCCCCAGGAAGCACACCCAAGAGGGGAAUGACAAAGAGAAAUGGAGAAAAAGGAGUAGAAAAUAAGAUACAAGCAAAAUCCUGAGGUGAAGGAUCAGGGGGAAGAACUAAACAAGGAAAAAUUAGGAUCCAAGACUUUGAUGAAAAUGUCAAAUGGAAUUAGGUUAAUAAUAAAUACCAGAAUAUUUCACAAAAGACCUCCAAUCCAAGUUGCUAUCAAUUCAUUCAUUAUCACUCUUUGGGUCUGGCAGUUAACAAGUUCUUAACCUGCUGUCAUCUCUCUUCACUGACCACAAAAAUAUCAUGAGACUUUCCCAAACGCCUUGCUGAAGUCAUGAAUGAGCAUGUCUGACUCCUGAUAGCUGAUGCAUCCAAUGAAACUGAAUCCCUUCUUCUGGAGAGAAGAGAGUGAACAAGUGGACAGAAACAGUUAGAAUGACAUGGUACAUUCAUGUAAUUGAAUAUCCUUGUGCCAUAAGGAAUGAUGAGUAUGAAGAAGCAUAGGAAGAUUUAUAUGAAUGGAUGCAGAGUGAAG